CUAGCGACUUCAGAGUUUGAUCCUGGCUCAGGACGAACGCUGGCGGCGUGCCUAACACAUGCAAGUCGAACGGGACUUAGCGGAAUGCGACUUCGGUCAAAGGAAACUAAGUUUAGUGGCGAACGGGUGAGUAACGCGUGAGGAACCUGCCUUUCAGUGGGGGACAACAGUUGGAAACGACUGCUAAUACCGCAUAACAUAACGAGAUCGCAUGAUUUUGUUAUCAAAGCUUUAUGUGCUGAAAGAUGGCCUCGCGUCUGAUUAGCUAGUUGGUGGGGUAACGGCCCACCAAGGCGACGAUCAGUAGCCGGUCUGAGAGGAUGAACGGCCACAUUGGGACUGAGAUACGGCCCAG
rnacentral:rRNA from 1 species